ACCAUGCCGCAGCUGACGCCCGUCGCACGCCCAGUACUACAGCGAGCACCUGAUCCAGCACGUCGUCCAGUGGCCGGCCACCGUGAUGGAGAAACAGGCCAACCGGACCAACGAGGAGGCGUGCCACGUGGCGAGCCUGCUGAUGACCAAGGCGGCCACUGACCUGAAGAUGGCCCGCUCGCUGGUGCGGCUCGCCGAGAUCCAGGCUACGCUACAGGAACAAAGAAUUCUCUUCCUGCGGCAGCAGAUUCACGAGCUGGACGAGCUGAAGUCGCAGAACUCGUUCAUGUCGGACACCUAGCGGCGGCCGCGGCACCCGUCUGCCCAACCUUGUGAUAGCCGCCGCCUCACAUUCCACAGACCACCCUCCUCCCACUCUCUCAGGGGCGACCAGCCGCAUGCGUUUUUAGCUUUUAUCUGGUCUUCGACGCUGUGUCUUAGUUCACUUUACGCUGGCGUUCCUGAUUGUUGUGUGUCGCUCCGCGGUACUUGAGCCGCCUCUCGGACCCGAUAGAUGUCACCGCUGGUGGCCGGCGCCCCGUCCGGCACUUCCGAUGUCUGUGGCUGCUGUCGGCCGGCCCGACACUAGGUGGCGGCCGGCCCUCCCGGCCCGACACCUAUUUAUUCAGGGGCUGCGCGGCGCGCGCGCGCGCGCGCGGCUGGGUGUCUGUGUAAUGUUUGUACAGCUGUGUGCGUGUCCUGCUCGGGUACACUGUGUAAUGUACGGCAUGGUUGCGGUCAAUUCCACUGAGAAACAGAUGACGAAUAAAACAAUUAUGUGAAAUGUUUA